GAGGGUAGAGCUCAGUGGUAGAGCACAUGCUUAGCAAACACAAGGUCUUGGGUUCAAUCCCCAGUACCUCCA
rnacentral:tRNA from 1 species